ACUUCAAGGUGGUGCGGACUUAACUGGUGUGACCAUCGUUGUGGUUUCGGUGCUUGUUGCAUUGGCAAUCAGUCUCGCCCUUGUCAUUUAUCGACGGAGCAGUGCUUUGCAACAAGAAACAGUCAGAGAGGUUACCAGCAACACCAAUGUAGAGUGACAUGCCACCAGUCAGCAAUUCUUUUUUUAAUUUCACCUAUUUUUCGAAUCAUCCUGCUCAAAGAUGUUAUUACACAGCUCUGGAGCAGGUGGGACUUGAACCCAGGCCUCCUGGUCUGGGGAUAUGAACACUACCACUGCACCACAAGAGGCCCUCACCAGUCACUUAUACAGUAUGGUUCACCCCUGUAAAGUGUGGGAAACUAACAACUCA